GACGAACGCUGGCGGCGUGCUUAACACAUGCAAGUCGAACGGAAAGGCCCUUCUGUGGUGGGGUGCUCGGGUGGCGAACGGGUGAGUAACAAGUGAGUAACCUGCCCUUGACUUUGGGAUAACUUCAGGUAACUGGGGCUAAUACCGGCUAGGAGCUCCUGCUGCAUGGGGGGGGUUGGAAAGGUUCGGCGUGUGGGGAUGGACCCGCGGCUUAUCAGCUUGUGGGGGGGGUAGUGGCUUACCAAGGCUUGGGCGGGUAGCCGGCAUGAGGGGGUGACCGGCCCAAUUGGAACUGGGAACCGACCCAGCCUCCACCGGGAGGAAGCAGAGGGGAUAAUUGAACAAUGGGCGAAGGCCUAAUCCAGCACCGCCGCGUGGGGGAUGACGGCCUUCGGUUUGAAACCGGCUUUAGCCUGUAACGAAGAGUGAGUGACGGUAAUGGGUAAAGAAGCACCGGCUAACUACGUG
rnacentral:rRNA from 1 species